AAACAAGAUUUUAUGGUCGCAAAAAGUGCUUUAAAUUUUCUCUCUUUUUUCAUACUUAUUUUUGAGCAAGGAAUUAUAAAUUUUGGACUUCUUAUUCAGUGUUUAUCUGUAUGUGUUGGGGGGUAAAUUGAAUUAUUUAAUAUGAAAAAUGGUAUUAUCUGCUGAAUGCAGAUGUACAUGUAUUUAUGUGUAUGAAAACAUUUACAAAUCCAGCAUAUAUCUAAGUGUGUUCUGCUUGUAUCCAUGUAACUCCGAUUUGUAUGAUCCGUGUUCUAACUUCCGUCAAAAAGAAAAAGAAUUAACUGUGAUAUUUGUGUGCUUGUGGUAGGUGUUGCCACGGAAACUGAUAAACUAAUCAAGACGUGUAUUGUUGAUCUCCCUUGCCAACCAGAUUUACUUGUAGUGUAAUUAAAAAUCAAGAGAUUGGAGUAGGAACCCAAUAGGAAUUCUUAAUAGCUUACAUUAUGUAUACGUAAUUAUAGAUAGUAUAUCCAAUUUAUUUAUAAACUAGAGUGGUUGUUAGAUCAUGUGCUGAUGAAAAGUACAUUCAAAAUAUAGAAUAUGUACUAUAUUUCUUCAUAUUUUAAGAUUAAUAUGUUUUGUACGUGAGAAGUGACUGAAGGAAUUUUUAAGAAAAUUAACUGUUCAUUGUGAAUGUUACAUAAUUUGAUGAGAGAAAUGGCAGCGAAGACACAGUCUUAUGGAAUCAUUUGUCUUCGGCUUUCAUUAUUAUGGGAACAAUAUACCUUUUCAUCCUUCCUCAUCUUCUAACAUUGUUUCCAGUUUUAAUCCUUGUUGUUAUUUUUUUCAUUCAUGCAUUUAGAUAUAAACAAAUUGAAAUAUU
rnacentral:misc_RNA from 1 species